rnacentral:rRNA from 1 species
CGGCAGCUAUACAUGCAGUCGUACGGGAUCCGAGGUAGCAAUACUUUGGUGAGAGUGGCGCACGGGUGCGUAACACGUAUGCAACCUACCUUUAACCGGGACACAACCCACCGAAAGGUGAGCUAAUAUCCCAUAACACUGCGAAGUGGCAUCACUUUGCAGUUAAAACUCCGGUGGUUAUUGAUGGGCAUGCGCGACAUUAGCUAGUUGGUGAGGUAACGGCCCACCAAGGCUACGAUGUCUAGGGGUUCUGAGAGGAUUAUCCCCCACACUGGUACUGAGACACGGACCAGACUCCUACGGGAGGCAGCAGUAAGGAAUAUUGGUCAAUGGGCGCAAGCCUGAGCCAGCCAUGCCGCGUGAAGGAUGACGGCCCUAUGGGUUGUAAACUUCUUUUGUACGGGAAAAAACCACCGGUCGUGUAUCGGUGCUGAUGGUACCGUAAGAAUAAGCAUCGGCUAACUCCGUGCCAGCAGCCGCGGUAAUACGGAGGAUGCAAGCGUUAUCCGGAUUCAUUGGGUUUAAAGGGUGCGCAGGCGGAAUAAUAAGUCAGCGGUGAAAGCCUACAGCUUAACUGUAGAACUGCCAUUGAUACUGUUAUUCUUGAGUGUUGUUGAGGUAGGCGGAAUGUGUCAUGUAGCGGUGAAAUGCUUAGAUAUGACACAGAACACCGAUCGCGAAGGCAGCUUACCAAGCAACAACUGACGCUCAUGCACGAAAGCGUGGGGAUCAAACGGGAUUAGAUACCCCGGUAGUCCUAGCCCUAAACGUUGGGUACUAGGUAGUGGACUAGACAUGAGUUCACUGCCG